rnacentral:rRNA from 1 species
ACCAGUAUCUAAGCACCCUGAAGGCGCCUGAUCUGAUCUGAUCUCGGAAGCUAAGCAGGUUCGGGCCUGGUUAGUACUUGGAUGGGAGAUCACCUGGGAAUACCGGGUGCUGCAGAGU